ACUCUCCCUUCCCACCUCUCCCUCACACACGUCGUCUCUGCAGUCUGCACGCUGGAUCUGCCGCCUCCCUACCACCACGCCUAUGCUGACCUCGCCCUCCUCCCCAGCGCGUCCCUACCACCGCCUCCUCCUGAUCGCGCACCUGUCACCGCCUCCACCCGACUCUGCCGCUAAGUGGGCGUCCCACCGGGUCGUGUUCGGCACCAAAGCGGCUGGAUGGGCUCGGCCCGGACCAGAGCGCCUCCGCCAUGGCCGAGGCUCCCGGCCACACCCGGCCGUGCAGGACGGUCUAUCUCUGCAUCUGAACUGCACUACAACUCUGCAUACAGCCGUAUCACUACCACCUUCACAUAUAUAAUUUUUUUCAAGUUAGAUCAACAAAUAGCUUCACAUUCUACAGCCCCUGUAGGAGUCCUCAUACUAAAAAUUUUCAGUGAAAUUUAUAAGUCUCACAUAUGUGCAAUGCUGCAUCAGAGUAAGAAUUUACUGCAAAAGUCAGUUGUUCGAGGCAAAAAAUUGACAGUCUUCAUAUGUAGUUUUGAUCAUUGUGAAGAGUAUAUAUUGCAGUCAUUGUACCAUGGCACGGUCUAUAAUACAGACAAUUAUCAAAAGUGGAGAGACUACAAAUUAAACCCUUCCACCACAUGAUAAAGUUAGAUUAGUAUAGCCCUACAGGAGGCACUAUACGGGAACAUACCAAAGAACUCACAUAAGGACAUGAUCAAAAGAUAGGGUCCGCUGAGGCAUUUAUGCAAACAGACCUCCGUCUAGCAACGGGAACUCCAUAGUUUCAUUGCUAAAAUCUAGAUCAUCAUACCAGUUAUUCUGCAGUCCAGGUAGUACCAUUGUAUCAUUGCACUGGAUUAAAUCGAUGCUAUUCAGUCCUAUAUCCCCGAAGGAGACGCCUUGAAGUUGAUAGCCGGACAGUUCAUCAGGUCUUUACUAUGACUGCAACUUUGAAGUUUGGUAUUCAUAUAAUCAAUAGGCUCAACAGUAUGUCCCUUGUAAAUGUUCUUGUUUCUUACAAGUGGUGAUGGUGGUAGUGGUCUGGUCUCUGUGUGAGCAUUGGUCUAGAGGAUCGUGAAGCUAUGCGGCUCUUCUUUCAUGUUCAAGAUGAAGUUCAUGAAGCUUGGAUCGAAUCUGGAUACCUUUAAUGAUGAUGGCAAUGAAGUCAGAGGUUAUAAUCACUCCUGAGCACAACGAAGAAGGGAUUUACACGAUCAGAUUCUACAUUCAGCGAAGCUUUCUUUCUUAACAUGUUGCUAUUGUGUCCAGCGAAGAUGCAGGCUAUCUCCUGCUAAUGUUGCUGCCGAAGAAAUGAACUUCUUACUUUUAUGUAGAGGCAACACUUACUAAUAUGAUGCUCGAAUUUGCAAUGAAUGAUGUGUGUGUGUGCUAUUUUUGGACCACUGGUAUUUAAAACUGACAACCAUGAAGUUUUGGUACACAUGAAUCCCAAGCAAUUUGUGUAAAAUAUGGCUAAACAAAACAUUGAUGCCUGAUUUAUGAUCCAGCUGAUUUUGAUGUCAAUUUAUUAUACAUGUAUAUAUCUUUACAAUAACUUCUUAUGUAUAUGGUUAUAUUGCAAAUA